GUAGCUCAGUGGCAGAGCAUCUGCUUGGCAUGCAGAACGUCCCAGCCUCAAUCCUCAGUGGCAUCUCCA